UACGUAGGGGGCAAGCGUUGUCCGGAAUCAUUGGGCGUAAAGCGCGUGUAGGCGGCCAACUAAGUCAGACGUGAAAUCCCUCGGCUUAACCGGGGAACUGCGUCUGAUACUGGAUGGCUUGAGUUCGGGAGAGGGAUGCGGAAUUCCAGGUGUAGCGGUGAAAUGCGUAGAUAUCUGGAGGAACACCGGUGGCGAAGGCGGCAUCCUGGACCGAUACUGACACUGAGGAGUGAAAGCGUGGGGAGCAAACAGG
rnacentral:rRNA from 1 species